rnacentral:ncRNA from 1 species
CAGGUGCUUUGAAGAGCUCAAAAGGGAAGUCGGGUGAGAAUCCCGCGCAAAGCCGUUGCUGUAUUGGCGAAGUGGUCCCCAUCAGGCCACUGGAGCGGAAGCUCUGGGAAGGCGGGGAGCGCGUCUGGACGCCUAAGUCAGAAUACCUGCCUGCGUA